AGGGCUAUAACUUAAUUGGUAAAGUGUUUGUUUGUUUUUGCAAGCAAAAGCGUUGGCGGUUCGAAUCCGUUUAGCUCCA
rnacentral:tRNA from 1 species